GUGCUCGCUUUGGCAGCACAUAAACUAAAAUUGAAAUGAUACACAGAAGAUUAGCAUGUUCCCCUGCACAGGGGGAAAAAAAAAAAAGAGUUGGGGCCUGGUUUC
ensembl:snRNA U6 U6 spliceosomal RNA